rnacentral:tRNA from 1 species
GCGUUGCACGGACCAAUGGUGGUCCAGCCGGCUGUAAACCGGACGCCUUCUGGCACGCGAGGUUCGAUUCCUCGGCAACGCACCA